CCAAGUUAGUAAGGGCGCACGGUGGAUGCCUUGGCACCAGGAGCCGAAGAAGGACGUAGGAGCCUGCGAUAAGCCCCGGGGAGUCGGCAACCAGACUUCGAUCCGGGGAUUUCCGAAUGGGGAAACCUGAUUGGGCGUAAUGGCCCAUCGCCCCUGCCUGAACACAUAGGGCAGGUGGAGGUAACGUGGGGAAGUGAAACAUCUCAGUACCCACAGGAAGAGAAAGCAAAAGCGAUUCCCUGAGUAGUGGUGAGCGAAAGGGGAACAGGCCAAACCGAUCACGUGUCAUAGCCAGCAGGCGUUGCGUGACCGGGGUUGCGGGACCGACCAGCCAGAACUGCUGAUCUGGCAGGAAGUUAGAAAUCGUUUGGGUAGUCGAAGACGCCUGGAAAGCGUCGGCACAGAGGGUGACACCCCCGUAGACGAAACUCAAGCGACUUCCGGACGGUAUCCCAAGUAGCACGGGGCCCGAGAAAUCCCGUGUGAAUCCGGGAGGACCACCUCCUAAGCCUAAAUACUCCCUGGUGACCGAUAGUGCACAAGUACCGUGAGGGAAAGGUGAAAAGUGCCCCGGUGAGGGGUCGUGAAAUAGUACCUGAAACCGUGUGCCUACAAGCCGUGGGAGCGUAAUCAGUCUUCGGACUGAUGUGAAGUGACCACGUGCCUUUUGAAGAAUGAGCCUGCGAGUUAUGGUAUGUGGCAAGGUUAACCCGUGUGGGGGAGCCGUAGCGAAAGCGAGUCUGAAUAGGGCGCCUAAGUCGCAUGCUAUAGACCCGAAGCGGAGUGAUCUACCCAUGGGCAGGUUGAAGCGCGGGUAAGACCGCGUGGAGGACCGAACCCACCAGGGUUGAAAACCUGGGGGAUGACCUGUGGGUAGGGGUGAAAGGCCAAUCAAACUCCGUGAUAGCUGGUUCUCCCCGAAAUGCAUUUAGGUGCAGCGUUGCGUGUUUCUUGCCGGAGGUAGAGCUACUGGAUGGCCUAGGGGGCCCACAAGCUUACUGAAGUCAGCCAAACUCCGAAUGCCGGUAAGUGAGAGCGCGGCAGUGAGACUGCGGGGGAUAAGCUUCGUAGUCGAGAGGGAAACAGCCCAGAUCACCAGCUAAGGCCCCUAAGCGUGUGCUAAGUGGGAAAGGAUGUAGAGUUGCACAGACAACCAGGAGGUUGGCUUAGAAGCAGCCACCCUUGAAAGAGUGCGUAAUAGCUCACUGGUCAAGUGAUUCUGCGCCGACAAUUUAGCGGGGCUCAAGCACACCGCCGAAGCUGUGGCACUCGCGCAAUAACCAGGCCCUUUGUGGUUAAGGUGGAUGGCGGUCUUGUCCGCUGCGGUUUCGGCCGCGGCCGGCUUGACCGUGGCCACUGGCGCCUUGAGGGUCCAGGUGCGCGGGUGGGUAGGGGAGCGUCGGGUGGCGAGUGAAGCGGCGGAGUGAUCCAGCCGUGGACGCCACUCGAGUGAGAAUGCAGGCAUGAGUAGCGAAAGAGGGGUGAGAAACCCCUCCGCCGAAUGACCAAGGGUUCCUGGGGCAGGCUAAUCCGCCCAGGGUGAGUCGGGACCUAAGGCGAGGCCGACAGGCGUAGUCGAUGGACAACGGGUUGAUAUUCCCGUACCCGCUUAGAUGCGCCCAUGCCGACCCCGGCGAUGCUAAGUGCGCGGAUCCGGCGAGUCCUUCGGGGCAAACUGGCCGAGCGCACGACCCAGACCGGCAGUAGGCAAGCCGAAGGGGUGACGCAGGAGGGUAGCUCUACCGGGCGAUGGUAGUCCCGGAGUAAGGGUGUAGGGCGGUGCGCAGGCAAAUCCGCGCACCAUUAAGCCUGAGACCUGAUGCCGAGCCGAUUUAGGCGAAGUGAGUAAUCCCAUGCUGCCAAGAAAAACCUCGCGGCGAGCAUCUCGGCGGCCCGUACCCUAAACCGACGCAGGUGGUCAGGUAGAGAAUACCGAGGCGAUCGGGUGAACCGUGGUUAAGGAACUAGGCAAAUUGUCCCCGUAACUUUGGGAGAAGGGGAACCGCGCCCGGUGACGAGGCAUGCCCUCGGAGCUGGGUACGGUCGCAGAUACCAGGGGAAAGCGACUGUUUACUAAAAACACAGGUCCGUGCUAAGUCGCAAGACGACGUAUACGGACUGACGCCUGCCCGGUGCCGGAACGUUAAGGGGAGGGGUUAGCGGCCUUCGGGCCGCGAAGCUCAGAACUUAAGCGCCGGUAAACGGCGGUGGUAACUAUAACCAUCCUAAGGUAGCGAAAUUCCUUGUCGGGUAAGUUCCGACCUGCACGAAUGGCGUAACGACUUUCCCACUGUCUCAACCACGGACCCGGCGAAAUUGCACUACGAGUAAAGAUGCUCGUUACGCGCAGCAGGACGGAAAGACCCCGGGACCUUCACUGCAGCUUGACAUUGGUGUUUGGGACGUCUUGUGUAGGAUAGGUGGGAGACUGUGAAGCAGGGACGCUAGUCCCUGUGGAGUCACUGGUGAAAUACCACUCUGGUCGUUCUGGAUGUCUAACCUGGGUCCGUGAUCCGGAUCAGGGACAGUGUCUGGUGGGUAGUUUAACUGGGGCGGUUGCCUCCUAAAAGGUAACGGAGGCGCCCAAAGGUACCCUCAGCCUGGUUGGCAAUCAGGUGUCGAGUGUAAGUGCACAAGGGUGCUUGACUGUGAGACAGACAUGUCGAGCAGGAGCGAAAGCUGGGACUAGUGAUCCGGCGGUGGCAUGUGGAAGCGCCGUCGCUUAACGGCUAAAAGGUACCCCGGGGAUAACAGGCUGAUCUUCCCCAAGAGUCCAUAUCGACGGGAUGGUUUGGCACCUCGAUGUCGGCUCGUCGCAUCCUGGGGCCGGAGCAGGUCCCAAGGGUUGGGCUGUUCGCCCAUUAAAGCGGCACGCGAGCUGGGUUUAGAACGUCGUGAGACAGUUCGGUCCCUAUCCGCUGCGCGCGCAGGAGACUUGAGAGGGGCUGUCCCUAGUACGAGAGGACCGGGACGGACGAACCUCUGGUGUGCCAGUUGUUCCGCCAGGAGCACGGCUGGUUGGCUACGUUCGGAAGGGAUAACCGCUGAAAGCAUCUAAGCGGGAAGCUCGCCUCAAGAUGAGGUCUCCCUCGGGGUUAACCCGGUAAGGCCCCCAGCUAGACGACUGGGUUGAUAGGCCGGAGGUGGAAGCGUGGCAACACGUGUAGCUGACCGGUACUAAUAGGCCGAGUGGCUUGGCUUC
rnacentral:rRNA from 1 species